UGGUAGAAUGAAAGGGGAGGAAAACGAACAGAAACCUCUAAUUGCCCAGGUUUGCUGCCUUGAAUAUUUCCGCAAGUAGCUCUGAGGCAGGCGGCGGCACGGUCCAUGUUUUCAGACCUGACAAUGGUUUCUGAAGUUCCCACAGAAGUCUGAGAUGGUGGCCAGUAAUUUCUCCUUGAAGCCUAACGCACCUUACCCAGUGACUAGAGAUAACUGUUGUGAAGAGUUUAGUGUUGAAUCAAAGGACCUAGUGCUUCUUUCUUGAACAUGACACACAAAAAAAAAAAUUCCAAAGAACAUGGCCCAAAGGAAAACAGACCACAAAAUUUAAGGAGUCUCAGCUUGCUGGGUUAUGAGAUCCUUCUUUGGGGCGGCCCACUUACGCCUUGGCCUUGACUUCUGCUAUCUGCGUUGGAAGAAAAGCCUAAGACAGGUAAUAUUUGCUUGUCACAUGGAAUCUAGGACUCAGUGGCGGUCGCCAGGCAAGUGACCGUUCCAUCCUCUGGAUAAGGCGUUAACAGGCUCUACUUAGGCGCCACACGUGUCCGUCCGGUUGCUGUCACAGUUAAGCCUCAGCCACCACUAACGUCUUUAGGUUAAAUGAACUUACCACAUCAUUAGUAUGCAGAGCCUUGGGGAACAGAACAGGCAUGUGUUACGGAGGAGAAAUGGGUUGGUGAAUCAGUGCCUGGGCGGGGACAUUGCAAUAGGGGCUCUGGGCAGCUGAUGCUCCGGAGGGAAUUUGAAAGGGAAAGAAGGGGCCAUGGCCCGAAGGGUGGGCUACGUUCAGGGCAUAUACUUUACACACUUCGUGAUUUUUGUCUUGGGCAGACAGUAAUCGUUAUAGUAUAAAGUUAGACUUGGGCUGAUUUUGAUUAAUUUCUAUCAGCACAGACUUGUCCAAGGGCUCUCCCUCUUUACGUCCUGCUCCAGAACCUUGGCCUUGGAGGAAUUUAAACAGGCCUUGAAGGCUGAGUAAGGAGUAGCCACACUGCCGUCAGGUCCCCUAACAUCCAUGGUCCCGCGCAUGGCCCAUCUUAGAAGACUGCUUGGCCCGGCCUCCCUCGUCCAGUGUGGCCAUGUGACCAGAUUCUGCUCCGGGGUGAUGAGUGGGAGUGGUGUGGGCAGUUUCUCCGUAGUGCCUUCUGUUCUAGGCCGGCUUCCCCGGAAGUAGAUGCUGACAGCAAGAGUGCAGCACAAGCUGUUUACUUGAGAAGGUGAGUCUAGGAAGCAUAAGGAGGGGAGUAGGGGAAGUGUGUGGGUCUGGAUUUUCUCAGUAGGUGCCAAGUGCAAGUACACGUACGAGGAUUUUGUUAAGGGAAACACGUGUGGGAGGGACAGCGGGGUGGGAGCCAGAUGAGGCCAGAGGGCUGGCGGACCAGCCGGCAAACGUGAGUCUGGCCCGAAGUGAAGGAGAGGAGGAAGGCCUUGCGCUGCCUGCCAGGCUGAGGAGAGGUAGCACAGCCGGCAUCAGGGGGCCCCGGUUCCCCUGGGAACGACCUGCGUUGGGGUCCUUGUGACGGUCAGCGACUGGAGCAGUCCGCGGGAAGAAGGCCUCGCGCGGGCACAGCCGGGGGCCUCGUGGCACGGCGGCCAGCCUUGGUGACUGUACCCUUGGGGUCGGAGGCCAGGCCUUGGCGCGUCCUCCCGCCACUGCGGGAAGUGAGGCGGGGAGGGAAGGGACGUUAAGAGCGUACCGUCGAGCAUCCGUCCGGGGCCGCCGAGGCACCACCUGCUGGCAUCCUCUGGGGACCGGGUCAGUCCCCACCCGAGGGGCGUGCAGCUGAGGGGCAACACGCCCCCACCUGUCGAAACCGCUGACGGGUUUGUCUUCGCUACAGGAGCCGCGCGAGAGACACCUUGAGAAAGUGGUUUUGAGGAAGCGCUUCCACUCGCUCCUGCGUGGAAUCUUUCCAGCAGAGUUGCUGACAAACUGAACGUACGACCGACUGGGGUCAUGCAUCCUCUUUCUUCGUGCUCCUCACGUGCUCCGCCCCCCUCAUUUCUGCUGGAGAAUUGGAAAAGCGUGAAAUGCCCCCCCAGAGUGAAGAACACAGCACAGGGGACUCUGGGUAAUCCACCCCUGCCCGCUGUAAGGACACGCUACCCAGUCCCGGAUCAUAGCCUCUUCUCUUCUUUACAACUCCGCGAGGAGACCUACGGUCGGGAGGAAAACGACAAAAACAAAAAAACAAACUAGGAAGAAAUACACCAUAGCAAUUACUGGCUGGAGGGUGGUGGAAUUACGGAUAUUUUUCUUUUAUUCCAUAAUUAAAUGCGGUUCUAACCCUUUUACUUCGAUGUUUGUAGUAAGACUAUUUUUCUACUUUUCUGUGUGCUUAAGUACUUCCAUAAUAAAAAUUAUAUUUUAAUUUCAAA